AAUUAAGUUCUUUUUAGAACUACCUCUAGUUUCUAUAGAACUUUAU
rfam:Papilio xuthus contig12361, whole genome shotgun sequence.